GACGGAAGGUGCAAGCGUUGCUCGGAAUCACUGGGCGUAAAGCGUGCGCAGGCGGCGCGUUAAGACAGGUGUGAAAGCCCCGAGCUUAACUUGGGAAUUGCGCUUGUGACUGGCGUGCUGGAGUGUGGCAGAGGGAGGUGGAAUUCCACGUGUAGCAGUGAAAUGCGUAGAGAUGUGGAGGAACACCGAUGGCGAAGGCAGCCUCCUGGGCCAGCACUGACGCUCAUGCACGAAAGCGUGGGGAGCAAACAGG
rnacentral:rRNA from 1 species